rnacentral:rRNA from 1 species
UACAGGGGGUGCAAACGUUGCUCGGAAUUAUUGGGCGUAAAGCGCGCGUAGGCGGCCACUUAAGUCGGAUGUGAAAGCCCUUGGCUCAACUGAGGAAGUGCACCCGAAACUGCAGAGCUUGAGUGCCGGAGAGGGUGGCGGAAUUCCUGGUGUAGAGGUGAAAUUCGUAGAUAUCAGGAGGAACACCAGUGGCGAAGGCGGCUUUCUGGACGAUAACUGACGCUGAGACGCGAAAGCGUGGGGAGCAAACAGG